ensembl:snoRNA
UAACAAAUCUUUACAUAUUUGGGUCUGCAACGACCCUGUGCACAAGUGUGCUUGCCACAACAGUUUUGAAGUGGUUUGAGGCCUUGCCCUGAUCCAUCCAGAUCAAGAUUAUAGAAAUUUCAGACAAUU